CCUACGGGAGUCAGCAGUGAGGAAUAUUGGUCAAUGGGCGCGACUCUGAACCAGCCAAGCCGCGUGCGGGAUGACGGUCCAGCGUAUUGUAAACCUCUUUUGUCCGGGAACAAAGUGCGUCACUCGUCCCCUAUUGCGGGUACCUCAAGAAUACGCACCGGCUAAAUCCGUGCCAGCAGCCGCGGUAAUCCGGAGGGUCCGGGCGUUAUCCGGAUUUAUUGGGUUUAAAGGGUGCGCAGGCGGCCAGUUAAGCUGGGGGGAAAAGCCCGGGGCUCAACCCCGGCGCGCCGUGGCAACUGGCGGGCUGGAGUGGGGGAGAGGUAGGCGGAAUGCGCGGUGUAGCGGUGAAAUGCUUAGAUAUCACGAAGAACUCCGAUUGCGAAGGCAGUUCACUGGACGGCAACUGACGCUGAGGCUCGAAGGUGUGGGUAUCAAACAGGAUUAGAUACCCGUGUAGUC
rnacentral:rRNA from 1 species